UUGACAGUCUUGGAGAGUGAAUCAUUUGUGUACUCCCCAAAGCAGGCAAAGCAAGUAUAGUGGGAGUGCACGCUUCCCAUAUCGCACCAUCAAUGUGCCUCAACCCUGUUCUGGCAGGACCACUAUUAGUGGAAUAGUGAAGUAGUUCACUUUCCAGGCUCACAGAAUCUUUGGAGACU
rnacentral:sRNA from 1 species